AAACGGCUUCGACGGGGAUAGAGAAGCUUCGGCUGCAUAUCGAGUGCCUGCUAACUCGUAAAAAUGGUGGGAAAAUAUAUAAUCGCAGACGAUUAUGAAUAUGCCCUGGCCGCUUAAAUAGGCCAGCGUCCUGCCAGAUUUUUCCUGCGUAUCUGGUAAGGGCGUCGACUAGCGGAAUAGCCGAUUUUGAUUGCCUGUUGCUUAAUCGGCGAAACUCUAACAGGAUAAGCCUUCAGUCAUCCGGCCUGAUGGAGAACUGAAGGACGAAAACCAAAUAUCAGGAUAAGUAUGUAGAUGCCUGUGUGGAAUAUUUUCGGACGCGGGUUCGACUCCCGCCGCCUCCACUA
rnacentral:tmRNA from 1 species